UACGGGGGGGGCAAGCGUUGUUCGGAAUUACGGGGCGUAAAGGGCUCGUAGGCGGCCAACUAAGUCAGACGUGAAAUCCCUCGGCUUAACCGUGGAACUGCAUCUGAUACUGGAUGGCUUGAGUUUGGGAGAGGGAUGCGGAAUUCCAGGUGUAGCGGUGAAAUGCGUAGAUAUCUGGAGGAACACCGGUGGCGAAGGCGGCAUCCUGGACCGGCAUUGACGCUGAGGAGCGAAAGCCAGGGGAGCAAACGGG
rnacentral:rRNA from 1 species